rnacentral:rRNA from 1 species
GACGAACGCUGGCGGCGUGCUUAACACAUGCAAGUCGAACGAUGAAGCUAGAGCUUGCUCUGGUGGAUUAGUGGCGAACGGGUGAGUAACACGUGAGUAACCUGCCCCGAACUCUGGGAUAACUGCUGGAAACGGUAGCUAAUACUGGAUACGACCUACGAAGGCAUCUUCUGUAGGUGGAAAGAAUUUCGGUUCGGGAUGGACUAGCGGCCUAUCAGCUUGUUGGUGAGGUAAUGGCUCACCAAGGCGACGACGGGUAGCCGGCCUGAGAGGGUGACCGGCCACACUGGGACUGAGACACGGCCCAGACUCCUACGGGAGGCAGCAGUGGGGAAUAUUGCACAAUGGGCGCAAGCCUGAUGCAGCAACGCCGCGUGAGGGAUGACGGCCUUCGGGUUGUAAACCUCUUUUAGUAGGGAAGAAGCGAAAGUGACGGUACCUGCAGAAAAAGCACCGGCUAACUACGUGCCAGCCGCCGCAGUAA